CUUGGUGAUGCAGGCACCUAUAGGCUCACGAUCAACGGAGUUAGCACGGAUGCACAAGUCUUUGUGCAGGGAAAUUCAAAUACUGGAUCAAGCGCAGUCUGCCGCGACAAUAUUGAUGUGUUCCUGGCUAUCGAUGGAUCAAACAGCAUCAACCCCGACCCCUUCGAGUUCGAGC